AUUGUUGCUUGGAAGAGGAGUAGUAGAAACGAACGCAUUUCAGAGAGCGCACGGUGCUGAGAGUGUGUAUGCGAGACAUUCGAACUUACCUUGGAGCAUGAUCGAAUGAUCCGGUUAAAGCCCGUUAUUUCUUUUGAGGUCUGUCGUUUGACAGAUAAAAAUAGGUGGUACCACGUUGAUAACGUCCUAUGA
rnacentral:ncRNA from 1 species